UGAACUGUUGAGUUGACAAUUGUUCCUCCAUCUCCUCGAUUCGAUUAGCACCCGGUGUCCGUCGGCUGCAGUCGGCAGAGCAGAGGAUAGACAGCCUCUCUUCUCCUAAACCAAAAGAUUCAGGUUUCAUCUGCGAACCCAACUGAAAGCGAGACCCACCUGCGCACCCGACCCAAACCCGUUUGAUCUGAGAUUCUGAGAUCCACCGCCCAGAAGCCGUCCCCUAAGCAACAACCACCGACCCAUCACACCUCCUCCUCCUCCUCCAGCUUCCUACUGGUUCUCUGAUGAUGGCAAAGAAAAGGCAAACGCAGCUUGGGGUUGCCCAGCACAAGAAUAAUACCUCCACUGGUGGUCUAAUUGAGUCUUCAAACUCCGAUAAUGAUCCUGAUCUGCAAGAUAGUUGGGUGAUAGUUAAGAAGCAGAGAGUCAAAAUUCUGAUACCUCCCCUGCCUGUUGCUAAUAAAUCUCCACCGCCAAAUCCAGGACCAGUCCAGCUGCAACCUGUGGCCAGAGAAGCGGAAGGAAACAAAUCACAGUUUCCUGUCGAGACUGAGGCAUUUCCUAAGACGACUUCAGUUCAGGAGCAAAAGAGGAUUAAAUCUAUUGCUCAUAAAAGGGUUGUUCAGUUACUAGAAAAUCUCCUUCUGCUGACUACGUUUCAACAUUUGGGAAGUCAAUCAAGCGAGAUAUAAGAAUGGAAUUACGAAAUCCAGAUCAGAUUGCUACUUCACAGUCUCAUAGAACACCGGGAGUAUUUAAAACCUCAAAAGCCAUCAUUCAGCCAAGAAAAUUACGACAUGGCCCGAGUAUUUUCCUUGAUCAGGGAAUGCUGCUGAAUCAAAAGCUGAGAGCUCUGAAUCUUGAGAGGAAGCUUCAGAAAGCCGGCGGGUUAAGCAGGUGGUUAGCAUCACUAGGACUGGGGCAGUUUGUUAGCAUUUUCCAGAGGAAAGGUCUGAGUAAGUUCCAGUUGGUGAAUCUGACCAUGAAGAAGCUCAAAGACAUGGGUGCCAAUGCAGUAGGGCCCCGUAGGAAACUGAUGCACGCAAUCGACUGCUUUUGCCAGCCGUGCUUCUUUUAAAAGCAUUCCGGAAUUCAUUUAGGAUCAAGUUGAGAAACAAAACCCAAAACCAACAUCUUUUUCUGCGAGUAACAUCAAAAGCAGCGAGGUACGUUGUUCCCAUUUCGAUGUGUACAGUUUUUCGGAUUGGUGCAUUUUAUGAAAAGAAAAUGUCUACAAACUACGGCAAUGUCAUGUGAUUGCUAGUUGUAUGGAUAAGCCUUGUGUCAGUUUUCUACGAGCAUUCAGAAUGCUACAUGAAGUAGGUUUGUAACGUUUGUUUAUGGAAGUAUGGGUGUAAAUAAUUGUGUCCAUUAGAUCGCACACAUGAUUUUCAUAAGAGGACAUAAUGUGGUGGCGAUGCUCACCAUUUUACGGUGAUGGGUAACGUAUUGUUUAGCCGGAGGUCGUUGUUUGAGUGACACAAAAAGAGAAAUGAACUCCUUACUCCUUGCUGCAAGCACUUCAUGUCGGCAUGGGAGAGUGGUUGGCUGGUACCACACUGAUUCUAAUUUCAAUUGAAUCCAUAUGAUAGAAAACAAUAUUUCACAUAUUACCCA